GAUGAACGCUGGCGGCGUGCCUAAUACAUGCAAGUCGAGCGAACAGACGAGGAGCUUGCUCCUCUGACGUUAGCGGCGGACGGGUGAGUAACACGUGGAUAACCUACCUAUAAGACUGGGAUAACUUCGGGAAACCGGAGCUAAUACCGGAUAAUAUAUUGAACCGCAUGGUUCAAUAGUGAAAGACGGUUUUGCUGUCACUUAUAGAUGGAUCCGCGCCGCAUUAGCUAGUUGGUAAGGUAACGGCUUACCAAGGCAACGAUGCGUAGCCGACCUGAGAGGGUGAUCGGCCACACUGGAACUGAGACACGGUCCAGACUCCUACGGGAGGCAGCAGUAGGGAAUCUUCCGCAAUGGGCGAAAGCCUGACGGAGCAACGCCGAGUGAGUGAUGAAGGUCUUCGGAUCGUAAAACUCUGUUAUUAGGGAAGAACAAAUGUGUAAGUAACUAUGCACGUCUUGACGGUACCUAAUCAGAAAGCACGGCUAACUACGUG
rnacentral:rRNA from 1 species